AAUGGCACUGGAAGAAUUCACGGCUUGAUUUGCUAACCGUGAUUUCUCUAGUGUUAUAAA
rnacentral:pre_miRNA from 1 species